GCCUUUAUAUCCUUAAGUUGAUGAUUUUUCAGCUAAUUUUAUGAGAAACUAUUUCAUUCUCUGGAACUGUGAAAAGCUUCAAGUGAGAUGAAGAUGAAGAUUCUCCUAGUUUGAAGAAAGUUCAGCAUGAUGUACUGUGCGCAGCAUAGCAUUGACCAAGUUGCUUUCUGUUGAGGAUAUUUUAUUUGAUGCCAACAGGAAGAGAUUCCUUUCUCCAAUAAAAGAACAGAUACUCGAAUGACAGAAGCAGCCACGUGGAUUUAUGUGCUGGAGUUACUUACACUACAGCAAGCUUUGAAAAAAAUACAUAUGCGACUACCUGUAAUGAGAACAACACCAGUUUGCAAAUAAAUUUGCAAAAUUUAAACUAGUUUUAUAGUUAUUUACUAUGUACGUAGUGUUGCUAUUAAUGAGAUAAGGGUUUUUAUAGUGCAUCUAGGAAAUAUCAUGUUCUUUGGUGCUUACGAUGUCUUUAGCUAAGUGAUAUGAUCAUGGGACAUGUAAAACUGCACAAUUCUUUCUUUAUCUAAACUGAAGAGUCACAUAAUGGUCACUUGGAAAGUUACUAAAUAUAAAGCAGGUAAUUUUAUAGACCUUUCUAAGUUAAAUCAGUGAUUUGACCAAUUUGUAUAUAAAAUGGGCUCUUUUCCUAAUUACACACGUUUUAAUCAAAUAUUGCAGAUAAUAGAGGAAACUUAAACUAAUACCUGAUAGUUACAGAUUACAUAAACUAUCAAGCAGAAGGUCAGUGUAAAGGCCAUAAAACACUUGAACUUUCUUUGAGGGCUUCAGCAACAAUCAGGUAACAACUUGAAGAGGUAUCCAACUUCAACAUAUAAUUAAAAGAAGGAGUAAAAGAAUGGAAGAUAUUAUUAAAGGUGUGGACUCUUUCAAAUUAUUUUUUCUGAGGUUCAUUUCUAACAUUUAGGCAACUGUAGGAGGCUUAGACUGUGAAAUUCAAUAACAUGUUAAAAAAGUAGGUCCGAAGCAUAAUUUAUUUUCUAGAUAUAUGUUCUAUGUACUAGAGCUGUACAUGAGAAAAAAAAAUAAUCAGGGUAAGGCAGCCAGAACAAAUAGCAGAUACAUCUGAAAAUUAACAAGGCUACAGUUCUUAAGAGCUUGUCGUCUUCUAACAGCUCGAGCCUAUUUUUUGCUUCUUCCUCUUAGCAAUAUUAUUAAUAUUGAAAUGAAGGGACAAAGUGGUAUUUAAUUUUAGUAACCAGAUAUAUUUGGUGUUUUGUUUAUCUAAGCAUUUGUUAAAACAUUACAGAUAUGAGUUGCAUAUGGUAUGAUUAUGAAAUUUUUCAAACCAGCUGACACUUGGUUCUACAAAGGGAAGAAUAUGUUUAGUUUAGGAAGAAAGUUGAAGUGUAAUUUUAAAAGGAAUGUUCUAAAUUAUCAUCUUUAGGAAAGUAUGAGGUAACCAUUCCUGAGUUUAUGAACAGCUCCUCAUGUCUGCUCAGCUGUUACUUUCUUAGAGCUACAGACCCUUCAUAUGUGUAAUACUGGAUAGAAGCAAAAUGAAGAAAAAAGGAAUUAAGUUUUUUAAAAAAGCCUUGUAAUAGGAAGUCUCGUAGAAUCUACUGCAGCUAUCUAUCUUUACUAUUUUUUCUCUACUCAUUGUAUUAAGCUUAAUUUUGAUUUUAGUUCUUUAGAUAAGAUUUUUAAUGUUUUACUUUCAUCUGUCUCUUCUUCCAAUAUUCUGUAUAUUAUAAUGACAAAUCAUUGUGUUAUGAUUCCAUAAUUUUUUAGUGACGCUUCAGAAUGCUUCAGUUUGGAAGGCACUGCAGAGAAGAGUUCCCCCCCGUAGCAAUAUUAAUACUAAAUACACUAUAUGAGCAGCACUCAUAUGAAGUCAGGAAUUUUAAAAGUUGUAAAAACUGUGUUCUGUUCUGGUCAAAAACUGGACAGAGUUAUUAGCAUUUUCUGUUAGAUUCAUUGGAUAUUGACCCAGUUCCUAGAUUACUUAUAUGACUGUCAUUAACCAUCUUUACAAAUGUGUACAGUUUAAUGAUAAAUGUUAAAUAAAAACAUUCAUGUUAAUCUUAUUCAUGAAAGUCUGUCAAUGGAUGAAAUAAUUUUCCAUAGAAUGUAGAAACAGUUAAAAGGAAAAAAUAUAUAUGACCAGGAAAGCAAUAUAUGUAGAAGCAGUGUUUCUAUCAUGUUAUAUGUUAAGGUUAUCUUCUGUGUCUAUGUGAAGAUUAAAAACAUCUCAUGGAAAAAUAAAGGGAAAAAUGUAUUUGGGAGAUUUGAGUUUGCAAUGACUUCAAUGGAUAAUUAUUUCUUUUUAUUCCUAUGGGAAGUAUAGAUACAUUGUUUGUCUCAGUUAGCCAAAACAUUUUGUUUGAUAAAUAAAGUAUCUAAUAAAUAGAAAAGACAGUUUUCAGGAAUUUCAAAAUGUUUCUUGCUGGUCUUAAAUAUCUCAGUUC
rnacentral:lncRNA from 7 species